AUACUUCUUACGCUGACGCGACGGUGGCCGAACGAAGACAAACUGUUUCUAUCGUAAGAGGGACGUGUGAAAACCCAGCCGAGGAAACGUCAGCGACUAAGCUAAACAGACAGUCAAAUUGAAGAAACAAGUGCUAAACUCAAAAAUUUUUAAAACAGAAAGAACUCCACGAUGAGAAACCAGGAUGCGGUAGGAGAGCAAAAUGAGAGUAUCACAGGAAAGGUGUCCUAUCAUUCCAUUCCUAGGAAUCUAAUCUGCAGUUCCCGAAAGAGCUGUAAACCACCUUAGGGGUGGACUCCUCAUCCUGUUUCUGCUGGCCGCCCACGCCCCCCAAAAACCAACCAAUUGCUGCAGAGCAAACGAACCAAAACACUAAUGAAUGAAAGCAGGGGCCCACCUCCAGGCCUUGUUCCUCCUCGGUACACAGGACCCCGCAGGAGCGGGGCGGAAGUGUGACCGUACCUCGUCCUCUCCUGGGGGCCGCGGUACUAAAGGAUGACGAGCGGCGAAGGCUCCAGCCAGACGGGGCACCACCUCUCGCCCCCAGACCCGGGACUCACCAGUGCA